rnacentral:rRNA from 1 species
AGGAUGAACGCUGGCGGCGUGCCUAACACAUGCAAGUCGAACGUCCUGUCUCGCAAGAGGCAGGGAGUGGCGGACGGGUGAGUACCACGUGGGUCAUCUACCGUGAGGUGAGGAAUACCGGCGAGAAAUCGCCGACAAGACCGCAUAGGCUCGAUGCAAGUCGAGCAAAGCUCUUUCGAGAGAGGGAGCGCCACACGAGGAGCCUGCGCCCGAUUAGCUAGCUGGUGGAGUAACGGUUCACCAGGGCGACGAUCGGUAGCUGGUCUGAGAGGACGAUCAGCCACACUGGGAUUGAGAACGGCCCAGACUCCUACGGGGGGCAGCAGUGAGGAAUUUUCGUCAAUGGGGGCAACCCUGAACGAGCAACGCCGCGUGCAGGAAGAAGGUUUCGGUGUAAACUGCUUUUCUGUGAGACGAGAACGGACGGUAUCACAGGAAUCAGCCCCGGCUAACUACGCGCCAGCAGCCGCGGU